rnacentral:rRNA from 1 species
AUGUUUUUCACGUUCGCCACAUACCCCGAGAACAUGCACGACAAGGUGGCCUUGAGCCGGGCUUUGCUUCGCGCCGUCGUCAUCUUCUGCGAGGCGCUACGGUUUGGCCCCGUGUUCAUUGUCGUCUUGGAGAGGUUUAUUGCUGAUCCUAAGAAAUCUACCCCAUUGCCUGCUAUAUUCUGGGACUGGAUUGGUUGUUGGGGCAACCUGAGCGAGUUUGCCCUCAAAACCGGCAAGCGCAAUGGAGUGCUCAACAUGCAGGAGUUCGCUGAGUAUUGUUUGGCAAAUGGUAUCCCAAGCUUCGGUGAUCUUAUCGGCCGAGACGACAGUGUGCUUAUGUUUCUUAUGAGGAAGGAGGAUGUUCUGCUGAAUGGCAAAAUACCUCGAGGGUUGCAAGGGAGGACGCAUCCUGGGGUAGAUGUUCGCGAGCCACGAACCUUUGACGCGAACGACAGCUUGGUCGAUGUCUGA